AAAAUUGUUUUAGCAGGUGGACACGCAUUUGCGCAUACAGAUGUUAAUUACUUUCCACUAGCUCUUCGAAAGCGAAAUCGGUCACAUGUGGGAUGACGAAGGUAAAACCAAUUAACGAACACCUAUUCACAACUCUGAUAGAGAUCCAAUCAUCAACUAUAACAAGAGGUCCAUUUCGGAUGUUUUUCAUCCUACUGGACCUCGUCGUCGAGAGUUCUCUCUUCCGUCCUCUCCUCAUAGCAUAAAUCGACAUCGACAGGAAAAUGAUGGCAAAAACGGCUUCAAAAAUUGCUUCAGUUUUACUAAUUGCACUGGUAAUGGCACUGGUCGUCGUUGGCGACGACCAAGGAGAACAGCCGAUUAUGUCCGAUCGCCAAGAUUUGUUUACCACCGAGCAAAUCACAUUAGUAAUCACCUUCAAAUACCGUUUCGAUUGUGAUUUUUUUGGCAACGACCUCGAACAUAGACGAGCUCAUUCCUAUUCCCAAUGUGCCAAUUUAUGUGUUAACAACAGUUUAUGCACUCACUUCACCUUCAAUUUCGUUGGAAAUUACUGUUUUAUGAAAAGGUCUCAAGCGGAUACUUUGAAACAGCCUACAUCCCAUGCCCAAGGAAUUUGUGGCUUCUUUCCGACUCGAUUGAAAAAUGUCGAGAUGUAAAACGAGGAAAAAUAAUGUAGUGCAUUCUUCUCCUUGUUUGCAACAAUUAUUUCAACAAACGUUCAGUAGAGCGUAAUCUAUUACGAUAGAGCGUUAUACUUCCUCUUCGUGAAUAUACAUAAUUUGCAAACAAUUGUUAGACUACUACAUGAAACCUUGAUUUAGUAUUGAAAACGAGCUUGGUUUCGAUAUUUAAUAAUAUAGCCUACCCUACUACUACUUUGGUGAUUGUUGCCUUGAAUUGCUUUCCUUUUCCACUAAUGAGCUCAAUAAAAAUUCACUGCAUUCUAA